GGACUGAGGAUUGCAACGAAUAUCCUUUGGGCUAUCCGUCUGAUCUCUGAUAGUUGCUCAGGUGCCGAAAGCGUGCUUACGGUUAUCUAAGUUGACGGUCAAUAGGUUAGAACGUGAUUACAUUCGUUAAGGAUGUUGGCGUAAUGGCUUUAAACGA
rnacentral:rRNA from 1 species